CAUGAUGGUGUGGGAAAGGGUUUACCGGCAUGGGAUGGGGUCGCGUCCUAUCAGCUUGUUGGCGGGGUGAUGGCCUGCCAAGGCUUCGACGGGUAGCCGGCCUGAGAGGGCGACCGGCCACAUUGGGACUGAGAUACGGCCCAGACUCCUACGGGAGGCAGCAGUGGGGAAUAUUGCACAAUGGGCGAAAGCCUGAUGCAGCGACGCCGCGUGCGGGAUGACGGCCUUCGGGUUGUAAACCGCUUUUGAUUGGGAGCAAGCGAGAGUGAGUGUACCUUUCGAAUAAGCACCGGCUAACUACGUGCCAGCAGCCGCGGUAAUACGUAGGGUGCAAGCGUUAUCCGGAUUUAUUGGGCGUAAAGAGCUCGUAAGCGGUUCGUCGCGUCUGGUGUGAAAGUCCAUCGCUUAACGGUGGAUCGGCGCCGGGUACGGGCGGACUGGAGUGCGG
rnacentral:rRNA from 1 species